rnacentral:rRNA from 1 species
UACGUAGGGGGCAAGCGUUGUCCGGAUUUAUUGGGCGUAAAGAGCGUGUAGGCGGCCAGACAGGUCCGUUGUGAAAACUCGAGGCUCAACCUCGAGAUGUCGAUGGAAACCGUCUGGCUAGAGUCCGGAAGAGGAGUGUGGAAUUCCUGGUGUAGCGGUGAAAUGCGCAGAUAUCAGGAGGAACACCGAUGGCGAAGGCAGCUCGCUGGGACGGUACUGACGCUGAGGCGCGAAAGCGUGGGGAGCGAACAGG